AGAGCUCAGUGGUGGCGCAGAAAGUGUUCACUUCUUCUGUUUCGGGCUGUACGCUGUGGUUCUGCGCCUCCAGGGCUUUGCUGCCUGGCGAGCGUCCUCCCUGUACCACAGGAUCCUUGCCCGACUACAAACCCGAGGCUUCUAUUAGGAUAGUCUGGAUUCGCCAUAGGGGUUUCUCCUAGCGCGGAUUGUGUGUUUGCGUUGGCGAUGCUCAUAGAAGAAAGGCGCAGAGCUGUACGAGGAGGCGGGAUGCACGGGUCAGAGCCCUCGGUGGCCUCCGCCCGCUGCUCUUGGCGCCGGUCCGCUCCUGGAGAUAGCGCGGCAGCCGCCUGGGAGGCGAAGCGCGUAAUCUCCGCGCUACCCACGCGGGGCCGCGGCGUGGUGGCCGCACUUUGGCUUUGGGCGCUGGAUGGACAGUGGGGUAAAGGGUUGGGGUUCCCCUAACGUGGAUUACUUGGUGCUUAUCAACUGGAUUUAGAAGACUCUCGACCUGGUCUCCAUCAUCCGUGGGUUGUCUUUCCAUCUCCCAGCCGCUCUUUCACCUGGAGGUGAAACCAGAGCUUCUGCCUGCAUGGAACAAGAGCAAGAGAAAGGCCGAGGAGACUGACCUGCUUAUCCAUGCUACUUAUCAGGAACUGUGGAACCAUGGAGAACAUGACCCUGGCCCUCCCUUCAGGAUCUGCCUGAGAUCUGGCUGCCUCUUGAGACACUAGAGCCCUGGAUUCAAUUGCGGAACAUUAUGUUGGAGAAUAUAAACACUUCUAGACUGUGCCGGCAUUUGGGAAGGAAUAGUCUGUUUUGACUUGAAUGAACAAAGACAUACGUCUCUGGGCCUGGGGAAGGCUUACCAGCUCAGCUCAUCUACUGUCUGGUGGCAAACAUGUCCUGGGUACUGCCACUACCCAGGACACUCUUCCUCACUCUGUCCCUGUCCAGUUACCGCACCCUUCCCUGUCUGACCCCGCCUCCUGUGCCCACUCGCCUCUGGACCCAGAGAUUCUUCUUGUUUGCUCUAUCAUCCUUGAGCCGGAUACAGGGUGAAUAGUUAACCACACUUGGGUUGAAUGGGAUCUUGAUUCUUAUUUCUGUUCCUUGGAAAGAGGGGUCAGACUCGGUGCGUGGCACCCGGCCUGGAAGCAGCACAAGACUCCAGAGUGAUACAUGAUCUGCCUGGAUGGUCCCAGGGGCUCUUUGGAGGUCAGAGCAAGAGGAGCAGCCUGAGCAGGGGGGCUGAGGAGGGCCGGCACUGGAUCACACGCAGGCGUAUGUCUGGAUAGGCAGAGAGGAACCCACUUUUCAUUCCCUCUUCUGUGACACAAAUGCAAGGAACUUUGAAGACACUCUUCGGAGGUUGCAAUCGGAGAUCAGCUUAUCCAAGGGCUUCAUGUCUGAGCUCUGUUGGUCGUGCCUCCUGAGGACCUCUUUCCUCUACUGUAUGCUGAUGACACACCCAUCCGAUGGGAGCUGGAGCCUUGUCUGGUCCUUUCCUCUAUGACCCCACGUGUACAGUUGGAAAUCCUUCCUAAUCAUGCCUUGAUUCCCCCUUUUCGACUACACUCAAAGAUGUUUGAGCUGUUUUAUUUGCAAAAUGGAUGGACAGUUUGUUUAUAUAAAACAAUCCCAGCUUCCUUGUGCUCUAUCUGGUGUGUUUGUAUGGCUCUUCAGUGACUUUAAAGUGGAGCAUUGACCUUGGCCUCUUUGAUUCUCCAUGGUGGAAUAGAGAAGACCUCUUGAGGAUGCUUAAUGUUGCUGAGAUCUUAAGAAGGCUUGCAGACUUCCUCUUCCUCCCUCCUUCUCCCACCUCCUCCUUCCCUAAGCAGCCUCUGCAUUGUAUAAAUUCCUUUAUAU